UCAGCGUCGAAUUGAAGUUCUGCAGAACGACUUCGGUCGAAUAGCGAUCCUUGCCGUCCUUGUCCUGCCAUUUGCGAGUCUGGAGCUGGCCCUCGAUGUAAACCUUGGAGCCCUUCUUCAGAUACUGCUCGGCAAUCUUGCAAAGACCUUCGCUGAAGAUCACGACACGAUGCCAUUCCGUCUUUUCUUUCCGCUCGCCGGAAUUCUUGUCGCGCCAGGUAUCCGAGGUCGCGAUGCUCAGAUUCGCGAUCGGGCGGCCGUCCUGCGU
rnacentral:misc_RNA from 1 species